AAUUCUUUCGUCAUUUCCGGUAACGAUUCCGCCUUUACUUCCUGUCGGUCUUUUCGACAUGGGGCAGCAGCAGCAGAAGGAGGAGGAGAGGAUCAACACUGCGACGUGUUUGCAUAAACACUCGUACUGGUACGACUUUUGGAUGUUCAUCCUCAUCGACGUGGCCUUGUUCUUCUUCAUAUACUUCGUGGUUCCCUAAGAUGGCUCGCACACAAACGCAGCGAUCGCGUCUCCAAAGGCUUUUGGAGGGUCGUCUGUUUGCUGUGACUACUGCAAAAGACUAACGGUCCCUCCAUGAGUCCACAGCUGUUCUUAAACUUUAAGGAUGUGCUCCAUUUAUCGCCCUCAUUUUCAAAUUUCCUCUCUGAUUUAAAAACUGAUGCUAAAUUCCAAAAAAGUUUUAAGCACUUUAAACCCAUAACUGAUCUUUGUAUGUCAAAGAUUGUAUAUUGAAUGUUUCUUGGUAUGUGUUCCAGCAAUUUUGCUGGCCUCUCCUAAAUAUAUCAAAUGUCUGAAGGAUGAUUUAAGUUGUAUGCAACAAGAAUUCAGCUCAGAAAUGUUGAACAUGUAUGUUAAAUAAAACUUUAUUAAACAA